rnacentral:rRNA from 1 species
UACGUAGGGGGCAAGCGUUGUCCGAAUUUACUGGGCGUAAAGAGCAUUAAGGCGGCUCCUUAAGUGAGAGGUGAAAGGUUCAGGGCUUAACCCGAACAGUGCCUUUCAUACUGGGGAGCUUGAGUAUGGGAGAGGCGAGUGGAAUUUCUGGUGUAGCGGUGAAAUGCGUAGAUAUCAGAAGGAACACCCAUGGCGAAGGCAGCUCGCUGGCCUAUAACUGACGCUGUAGUGCGAAAGCGUGGGGAGCAAACAG